GUGUCGGUGGACAAUAUCAAGGUCACAUUUGAUGUUUCGGCGAUACUUCCUGUCAUCAAGCGCGUGCCGACAAGCAGCGCGUGCCACCCGCUGUGACGUUCAAAUUCAGCAUCAUGGACGGUUUCAUUCCAUUUUAAAAAUAGGAUGGCUUGGUGAUUCUUUCCUGCGAGUGUUAGAUCUUGGGUCCAAGGACUGGAGAAAUCCAUGAUAGUGACAGGUUUAAAGAAGGACCGGCCAAACAUUUGCUUACGGUUACCUUCAUAUAAGGAAAAGACAAGUGUGUGGAUGCCAGAAAUUUCAGAGCCAAAGAUGAGUUCAAUGAAUCGUUCCUUCCCCUAGAGACAAGGGCAGCCUUUAUUGAGAAGUUUGAAGAGAAAGUUCUCUGUUGGUGAAAAAGUUUGGGCGCUGUACAAGGAUGGACAUUCCUACAAGGCCAGGAUUAUCAGGAUUAACAAAAAUUCCUACAGAGUGAAGUAUAUUGAAGAUGGAGUUGUCCAUGAUGUUGAUGGUGAAGGACUUCUAACUUGUGGUUGAGCUAUAUGCCAGAUUAUAUGAUCAGAUCCAACUAUAUGUUCCAGAGUUACGGCCCUUGAAUUACCAGAAAGUGCUAAUUUUCAUCUUGUGAACACAUUGGAGAUGUCAUUUAGUGUUAGAUCUUAAUCAAACUUGCACUUCAUUUGUAUCAAUCUAAGAUCUAUGUUCCUUACGAGAACCAGUCAGAUUCCAUAUUACAAAAAACUAUGAACUGAUUUUAUGUCAAAUUAACUCCCUCUGUUUCAAAUUAAAAUAGGUAUGUCCCAAUAACUAAUGAAGAUACUGAUUUGAAAUUUCAUUUAUGCCAUUAGAUGGACUAAAACAAUCAGGAUAGAUAACUAGUUACAAAUAACCUCACUUUAUUUUUAUGUUUUAUAUAUAUUGCAUGACCAUCUUGUUUUUCUGUGCUAGCAUCGUUAAUACUUUGUAAUACCAUUUUGUAAUUUCAUCCAGGUUCUGGCAUCCAGGCAUAGUUUUAUUUGAUUUUUGAACUGGUUGUGACUUCGGGUAGAUAGUUAUUGACGGGGACAGUCUGUCGCGUCCAUUACCUUCCUUUGUUUCGAAUUAAAAUAGGUAUAUCUCAGUAAGUAAUAAAGAUGUUUUUUGAAAUUUGAUUUAUGCCCUGGGAUGGACUCAGACAAUCAGGGUACAUAACUAUGGACUAAUUUUAUGUCAAAUCACCCCCCUUUGUUUCAAAUUAAAAUGGAUAUAUCUCAGUAACUAAUGAAGAUACUGAUGUGAAAAUUCAUUAAUGAUGUUAGAUGGGCUCAGACAAUCAGGAAAGAUAACUGUUGACAAAUGACCUACCUUUAUUUUUAUAUUGCAUGGCCCUCUUGUUUACUGACCUAGCAUCAUAACUACUUGGUAAUACCAUUUUAUGACUUUAUCCAGUUCAUGAAAUUCAUUCAUUUGAUUUGGGUUUUAAUAUAAAGAUGAACAGGAUUUAAACUAUAUGCAUUUAUCCUGUCCUGUAUUGUCAUUUUAUUAAAGAUAUGAUAUAAUUGGUAUCAUGCUCUUGGUUUAAUUAUUGAACUGAUCAGUCACGUGUUUCAGAGUUGUGGCCCCUGAAUGUUUUAAUAUCCCCCGCCAAUCAAAAUCGGGAGAUGGGUAUUGAAGCAUUGUUCAUCCGUCAGUCCGUCCGUCCGCAGCCAUUUCUCAGUAACUAGAAUGUAGAAUUUCAUGAAACUUAAAAUAAACAUGAACCAACAUACUGCGAUGAUGCCCGUCAAUUUUUUUUUUGGAUUCGUCAAUUUCCCUUAGAGUUAUUGCCCUUGAUUUAAUGAAAAAUACCCAAAAAUGUCCGUCCGCAGCCAUUUCUCAGUAACUAUCAGUUAGAAUUUUAUAAAACCUGAAAUAAACAUACUGCAAUGUUUAUCGGAUUGGUCAAUUCCUUUAGCGUUUUUGCCCUUGAUUUAAUGAAAAUUGCACGUCUGCAGCCAUUUCUCAGUAACAAGCUGGUAGAAUUUCAUGAAACUAGAAAUAAAUACGAACCAACAUACUUCGAUGAUGCCUGUCUUUUUUU
rnacentral:lncRNA from 1 species